UUCACAAGAUGGAAGGCAGGUGAGGA
rnacentral:piRNA from 1 species